GGGGAUUUAGCUCAGUGGUUCCGGCACCUGCCUCGAAAGCAGGAGGACCCAAGUUCAAUCCCCA
rnacentral:tRNA from 1 species